CUAUGCAAUGGGAGCCUCGGAGAAGGACACAAACCAGGGCAGAUCCUGCCCGGCUCUGGGGGCAGCUGGCCAGGCCUGAGGUCGGUGUCCCUGGCCUCAGGCCCAGGCUCCAGUCCUGGAAAUACUCCAAGCUCUUGUGGAGCCUGGCUGGGCACACAGGGGCCAGGAGCAGGUGGGGCAGGGCCAGGGCAGCUGAGUUUAAACAGCAGAGGCACUGGGACGCAUUUGGGCUAGAUUCUAAGGCAAGAGAGAUGAGAGGCAGCAGCUGUGGGGAGGAAAAUGGUAGGCUGGGAGAAGCACCUGGCUCCCUGUGCUGCAAGCAAAGGAGAGCUGAGGGAUGUGGGCAGAUCCGGGGCCUUCAGGGAGGGCAGCCCACGCUCCUGGCUGUAGGUGAGGAGGAGGUGUCAGUGACAGCUCCGAGGGUUUGAGCCCAGGUGACUUGGUGAGGUGUUCUGGUCUGAGGGACAGGGAGGAUUGGAAGAGGAGGUGCAUUUAUCUGGUCCAUUUGAACCACCUGCGACUUCCCAUGGAGCUAGUGCCACUUCCCCCGCACAUUCCCUGUGGAACCACGUCAAGUUUAUUUUGGGACAACUGAUCUUCCAGCUCUCCAAAUGUGUAUUUAUAAGAAGAAUCCCCGUUUCCGUGAGUGGACACGGGGCCCACGUUGGACCACCAGGCUGUCUUCGGUGUUGUUCAGGCUGGUACUAGGACAAGGGAGACGCCUCCGCAUGGUUGAUGCGGCCUCAGGCUUGUGCGGACGUCUGGGAUGUGGCGCAAGACUGGGACUGAAGCACUGGCUCUUCCGAGUCUUGAGCCUGCCAGCUUUCAGACUGGAACAAACCAGCAGCCUUCCUAUGCCUCUGGCUUGAUGACUACGGCUCUUGGGUCAGGUCGGCCUCCACGAUCAUAAUUGGAGCGUGGUGGUGCAAAGAUAUGGUGAGACCACCCCGGAGGGCUGGGACCUGGCUCAGCAGCAUACUGUAAGGAUACGGGGAAAUGACCGCAGGUGGGCCUCAGGGUAGCCAAGGGUUGGCAGCCAGGACCUGCAGACUCAGUGCUGCAGUCCACAGACCAAACUUUGAGUAGCAGAAGCCUAGAAGCUGACAGAAUCCCUUCAAGCUCCUAGUGUGUCUUAGAGUGUAAACCUAUGUGGACUGUGGCCGGAAGGAAGAGCACAGGAGGGCCUGGCCCUGGGGAACAUCAGGUCUCUAGACAAUUGCCUGGACCUCCUAGAUCACUGAUAGCAAACCUUUCAGAGCUUUUGAUGACACAAACAGCCUGCUGAGGUGUGGGUGCCGUACAUUCACCACCACUGCCCUAGAUGGAUACAGACCCAGUCCUUCCCCUCCUCUCACAGCCCCACAGGUGCCUUGCCUUCCUCCUAGUAACUGAGGAGGAGAGGAGGUUGAGAUGUAAGAUGACCGCAGCACACACAUGUGCAUGCGCACACACACACAGGCCUCAUUGGGCCUGGCAAGUGAGGUGUUGCCGGGAGCUGCGGACAGUGCAUCCAGUGACCUCAGCUGCAGGAGGCCUUUCUCCUUGGCUCCCCUGAGUGGAAGAGGAGGGGGCGGCUCACAAAGUAGGGAUAUACCUACCCAGGUCCUGUGGCUUCCCCAACCCUGCCCCUCUGUCCCCACUGUGUGGCUGACUGGAGGGCCUCCUCAACUGAUACUUGCUUCCCAGUUUUCUCUUCUCUGAGCCAUCUGCCCUUUCUGGCCUUGGGAAACAUGGUGAUGUCACCCCCUCCUUAACACCUUCUGUAAUGUAAUAUAUUCACAUUUAAAAAUCAUUGACUCUCCUUUUGGCUUCAAUUUAAACCACUCACCUUCUCUAUAGGAAGAGUUAACAGGGCAGGCCUUCCUGCUUAUCUACACAAAGGCUGGCUGAUGAAGGUAGCCCUUGCCCGGCAUCUGGGAGAUUGGAUUUGGGAUCAGUUCUUGCCAUCAACUGUUAGUAAGAGGCUCACUGUAUAAAAAUCAAGGUUGACACUGAACCUGUGCUUUCCAUCUUUCUGGGGGUCUGGAAUCUGGGUACACACUAGGCAGAGGGUGUGACCAGCCUUGGAUUAGUGUUCGCCAGAGAAGAAGAAUCUGAAUAAUAUACAUAUUUGGAGAGACAGC